AGAUUGCUAACGCAUACCUAGCGCAGGCGGGGCCUACAUGAUAAAUCUAAGAUGGCGGUACAACAGGGCAAAAAGACUAUAGAUUCUAUUACGAAAAUCAGGAUUUUUUCAUUUUUUGCCGUCGCAUUGCUUUGAAACUUAUUCGGUCAAAUUUUAUGGUAAAGAGAAACUUACCGCGAAGAUUUUGAGCAUAUAUAUGAUUGAAUUGGAUAAAAAAUCGCAAAAUUAUCCCGCGAUAAAAGUUCGUGUAUAGUACUUAUAUAGUACUAUAUAUGUAACUUGUACAAUUUUGCUUUAAUUUUUGCUCACUAUUUGCAUAAAAAGCAAAUUAUAACAGACCAUAGAUGAUAGACCCUCAUCCAGUGCUCUCAUCAGUUUACUUCUCUAACAAGCAAGGGGGGGGGGGUACAUAACAGUUCAUUUUUCAUAAUUAUGAGGACAGAGCAGAUGAUGA
rnacentral:lncRNA from 1 species